rnacentral:rRNA from 1 species
CGCAUCUGUGCAUGCAGCAUAUCAAUAAGCGGAGGAAAAGAAACUAACAAGGAUUCCCCUAGUAACGGCGAGUGAAGCGGGAAGAGCUCAAAUUUGAAAUCUUAAAGGGUUUCCCUUUACGAAUUGUAGUUUAAAGAAGUGUUUUCUGUUGAGGUUUUGGUAAAAGUUCUUUGGAAUAGGACAUCAUAGAGGGUGAGAAUCCCGUAUUUGACCUUUACUUUCAACUUUGUGAUACACUUUCAAAGAGUCGGAUUGUUUGGGAAUGCAGUCCAAAAUGGGUGGUAAAUUUCAUCUAAAGCUAAAUAUUGGCGAGAGACCGAUAGCGAACAAGUACCGUGAGGGAAAGAUGAAAAGAACUUUGAAAAGAGAGUUAAACAGUACGUGAAAUUGUCAAAAGGGAAGCGUUUGACACCAGUGUUGUUUUUCUGAAAAUCAAUUAAAGAACUGUUUAUGCUAAGUUGUUUAGACUUUAUCAGCUAUCUGCUUAGUUUUGAGCUUUUCUUUAAUGCACUUUUCAGUUAACAAGUCAACAUCAAUUUCUUUUGCUGUAAAAAAGCUUGAGGAAGGUGGCUUGAGAUUCGUCUUAAGUGUUUAUAAGCCUCUUGCCUAUGCAGUCGGAGAGAUUGAGGUCUGCAGCGUAGAUCCUUCGGGGCUAAAUGCAUUUGUGCUAAGUUAUAGCAUUUUAUAGACAACUUGUUGACUAUGAUUUGUCUUGUAGCUUACUCGCUUAUGUUAUUUUACCUACGCUUAGGAUGUUGAACUCUAUCACACACAG